rnacentral:lncRNA from 1 species
CUGGCUUUGCUACUUCCUGUUCUGCUAUUCAAUAAAUAUUUAUUCAGUGCCUAUUUUAUCCAAAUCACUUGAUUAGGUACUGCAUGACUUUGGGGAAAUGCGGGAAUUCUGCCAGAGGCUAAGGGCAAACACAAAGCUUGUUACCUGUUCUGGAAUAUAAGAAAGGCUCUCAUUCGAAUUCCUGAAUCAAACCCAGAAUGGAAAAAUGAGGGCAGGAACCCGUGAUCUCCCCACAGGGGUUUUCAGUGUUGGAAACAAGGUUGUCUGGGGUCACAACUGAAUCACAGCCCUCUGAGACUUAGCACAGCAACAAUACUCGUUCUAAACCCCACCGGGGGAGAGGGAAAGGCAGUUGGUAUAACCAUAUGCCUCCCUUUCAUGGGCUCCUGCAGAAUAUCUCCAGGCUUUCCAAAGCUGGUCUACCAGACACCUGCAGGUUUCUGUCUGGCAGAUGAGGCUGAGGCAGCAAAGCGGACGUGAGGGCUGUCUCCCUCCAAGUGGUGCCCACAGAUCAUUGGUGACCUCUUCCAUGGAAGGACCAUUCACAGUUGCUCACUGGACUGGACAGCGCUAUGAAUACUGCUACUGGGCCUGCAUAGUAUGCUGUUUCCUUCAGGUUGCACCUGGGCAAUAUGUCAGCAAAAUUCUUUUGGGGGCCUAAUGGAGAAAAGUCAUCAACCAUGGUCCCAUGUGGAUUCCUUUAGACCUCAUAUUCAUAAGAUGAUCAUUAUAAAAAUUUCCAGAGAUGGGUCUUCGGCAUAGCAGUAAAGAUGGCCCUGGGAGGGCCACAUCCCAUGUCAGAUUGUCUGUGUUGAAAUCCCAGCUCCACUCUUGAUUCCAGCUUCCUGCAAAUGUGCACCUUGACAAGCAGCAGAUGAUGGCUCAAGCAGCCGAGUCCCUGCUACCCAUGUCAGAGACUGGCACAGUGUUCCCAACUCUCAUCUUUGCCCUGGCCUACACUUUGCCAUUGCAAACAUUUGGCAAGGGAACCAGCAGAUGAUAAAUCUCUCUUUGUCUACCUCUCUCUCUCUCUCUCUCCAUCUUUUGCCUUUCAAAUAGAUAAAGUAAAUAAAAAUUGAAAAGAAAAUUUUCA